rnacentral:rRNA from 1 species
UUUCAACGGAGAGUUUGAUCCUGGCUCAGGAUGAACGCUGGCGGCGUGCUUAACACAUGCAAGUCGAACGAUGAUGCCCAGCUUGCUGGGU